rnacentral:rRNA from 1 species
AACGAACGCUGGCGGCGUGCCUAAGACAUGCAAGUCGUGCGGAAAGGCUCCUUCGGGAGUACUCGAGCGGCGCACGGGUGAGUAACGCGUGGGUAAUCUGCCUUCGGGUUUGGGACAACUCCGGGAAACUGGAGCUAAUACCGGAUAAGACCACGGGGCUCUCGGGCCCUGCGGAAAAAGGUGGCCUCUGCUUGCAAGCUACCGCCCGUUGAUGAGCCUGCGUCCCAUUAGCUAGUUGGUGGGGUAACGGCCUACCAAGGCGAUGAUGGGUAGCUGGUCUGAGAGGAUGAUCAGCCACACUGGAACUGAGAUACGGUCCAGACUCCUACGGGAGGCUG